GGGGAUUUAGCUCAGUGGUAGAGCGCUUGCCUAGGAAGCGCAAGGCCCUGGGUUCGAUCCCCAGCCCCG
rnacentral:tRNA from 1 species